rnacentral:rRNA from 1 species
CCCUACGGGGGGCAGCAGUGGGGGAUAUUGCACAAUGGGGGAAACCCUGAUGCAGCGACGCCGCGUGAGGGAAGACGGUUUUCGGAUUGUAAACCUCUGUCUUUGGGGACGAAUUGAGACGGUACCCAAGGAGGAAGCUCCGGCUAACUACGUGCCAGCAGCCGCGGUAAUACGUAGGGAGCAAGCGUUGUCCGGAAUUACUGGGUGUAAAGGGCGUGCAGCCGGGAAGACAAGUCAGAUGUGAAAUCCCGCGGCUCAACCGCGGAACUGCAUUUGAAACUGUUUUUCUUGAGUACCGGAAAGGU